rnacentral:rRNA from 1 species
UACGUAGGGGGCAAGCGUUGUCCGGAUUUAUUGGGCGUAAAGAGCGUGUAGGCGGCUUUACAGGUCCGUUGUGAAAACUCGAGGCUCAACCUCGAGACGCCGGUGGAAACCGUAAGGCUAGAGUCCGGAAGAGGAGAGUGGAAUUCCUGGUGUGGCGGUGAAAUGCGCAGAUAUCAGGAGGAACACCCAUGGCGAAAGCGGCUCUCUGGGACGGUACUGACGCUGAGACGCGAAAGCGUGGGGAGCAAACAGG